ensembl:misc_RNA Metazoa_SRP Metazoan signal recognition particle RNA
GCCAGGUGUGGUGGUGGGCGCCUGUAAUCCCAGCUACUCAGGAGGCUGAGGCAGGAGAAUUGCUUGAACCCAGGAGGUGGAGGUUGCAGUGAGCCGAGAUCGCGCCAUUGCACUCCAGCCUGGGUGAUAGAGCAAGACUCUGUCUCAA